CCUACGGGAGGCAGCAGUAGGGAAUAUUGCUCAAUGGGGGAAACCCUGAAGCAGCGACGCCGCGUGGAGGAUGAAGGUUUUCGGAUUGUAAACUCCUUUUGUUAGAGAAGAUAAUGACGGUAUCUAACGAAUAAGCACUGGCUAACUCCGUGCCAGCAGCCGCGGUAUUACGGAGGGUGCAAGCGUUAAUCGGAAUCACUGGGCGGAAAGAGCGCGGAGGCGGGAUAGCAAGUCAGAUGUGAAAUCCUAGGGCUUAACCAGAGAACUGCAUUUGAAACUGUUAUUCUAGAGUAUGGGAGAGGUAGGUGGAAUUCUUGGUGUAGGAGUAAAAUCCGUAGAGAUCAAGAGGAAUACUCAUUGCGAAGGCGACCAGCUAGAACAUAACUGACGCUGAUGCGCGAAAGCGUGGGGAGCAAACAGGAUUAGAUACCCUAGUAGUC
rnacentral:rRNA from 1 species